rnacentral:tmRNA from 1 species
GCCCUAUUUUUCUCCAAACUUGCACCCUAUAUUGGGGGUGCCGGUUCGCCGGCUAUGGAAAUAAAUGACCGUCGCAAUAAACCAUUCGGACCCGGGGGCAGUACCCGGCGCCUCCACCCAAGCCCACCCCUCGUGCGGGUUUCGGCGGGGGCGAACCAGGAUCGACGAGGGCGUAAAGGGCGAGUUUUUUCUCGGUAUGGUUCCGCCGUUAUCGGGCUAUGCAAUAGUUGCAAACGACAACUAUGCUCCGGUUGCUCAGGCUGCGUAACGCAGUUUGAAAAACCAAGUCUAAAGUCCUGGUGGGUUAAGCUCCGCUAGGCGGGGUUCGGAGGCACCUGGCAACAGAAGCCUCCACU